UUUAAUUCGAUGCAACGCGAAGAACCUUACCUGGUCUUGACAUCCACGGAAGUUUUCAGAGAUGAGAAUGUGCCUUCGGGAACCGUGGGACAGGUGCUGCAUGGCUGUCGUCAGCUCGUGUUGUGAAAUGUUGGGUUAAGUCCCGCAACGAGCGCAACCCUUAUCCUUUGUUGCCAGCGGUCCGGCCGGGAACUCAAAGGAGACUGCCAGUGAUAAACUGGAGGAAGGUGGGGAUGACGUCAAGUCAUCAUGGCCCUUACGACCAGGGCUACACACGUGCUACAAUGGCGCAUACAAAGAGAAGCGACCUCGCGAGAGCAAGCGGACCUCAUAAAGUGCGUCGUAGUCCGGAUUGGAGUCUGCAACUCGACUCCAUGAAGUCGGAAUCGCUAGUAAUCGUGGAUCAGAAUGCCA
rnacentral:rRNA from 1 species